GUGACACAGGGAGGCCAGACUCGAUGGC
rnacentral:sRNA from 1 species